rnacentral:rRNA from 1 species
AACGAACGCUGGCGGCAUGCCUAACACAUGCAAGUCGAACGAGAUCUUCGGGUCUAGUGGCGCACGGGUGCGUAACGCGUGGGAAUCUGCCCUCAGGUUCGGAAUAACCAUUGGAAACGAUGGCUAAUACCGGAUGAUGACGUUAAGUCCAAAGAUUUAUCGCCUGGGGAUGAGCCCGCGUAGGAUUAGCUAGUUGGUGUGGUAAAGGCGCACCAAGGCGACGAUCCUUAGCUGGUCUGAGAGGAUGAUCAGCCACACUGGGACUGAGACACGGCCCAGACUCCUACGGGAGGCAGCAGUGGGGAAUAUUGGACAAUGGGCGAAAGCCUGAUCCAGCAAUGCCGCGUGAGUGAUGAAGGCCUUAGGGUUGUAAAGCUCUUUUACCCGGGAUGAUAAUGACAGUACCGGGAGAAUAAGCUCCGGCUAACUCCGUG